rnacentral:rRNA from 1 species
UACGAAGGGGGCUAGCGUUGUUCGGAAUCAUUGGGCGUAAAGCGCACGUACGCGGAUUGCUAAGUCAGGGGUGAAAUCCUGGAGCUCAACUCCAGAACUGCCUUUGAUACUGGCAAUCUCGAGUCCGGGAGAGGUGAGUGGAACUGCGAGUGUAGAGGUGAAAUUCGUAGAUAUCAGGAGGAACACCAAUGGCGAAGGCAGCUCGCUGGAACGGUACUGACGCUGAGGCGCGAAAGCGUGGGGAGCGAACAGG